GAUGAACGCUAGCGGCAGGCUUAAUACAUGCAAGUCGUGGGGCAGCAGGGUUGUAGCAAUACAAUCGCUGGCGACCGGCAAACGGGUGCGUAACACGUACGCAACCUUCCCGUUACUGGGGAAUAGCCUAGGGAAACUUGGAUUAAUACCCCAUAUUAUAUUGGUCAGGCAUCUGACUGAUAUCAAAGCUUCGGCGGUAACGGAUGGGCGUGCGGUUGAUUAGGUAGUUGGCGGGGUAACGGCCCACCAAGCCUACGAUCAAUAGCUGAUGUGAGAGCAUGAUCAGCCACACGGGCACUGAGACACGGGCCCGACUCCUACGGGAGGCAACAGUAAGGAAUAUUGGACAAUGGGCGCAAGCCUGAUCCAGCCAUGCCGCGUGCAGGAAGACGCAUCUAUGGUGUGUAAACUGCUUUUGUACGGGAAGAAACACUCCCUCGUGAGGGAGCUUGACGGUACCGUAAGAAUAAGGAUCGGCUAACUCCGUGCCAGCAGCCGCCGUAAGAC
rnacentral:rRNA from 1 species